CAGAAAAAAGAUGGAGACUGGGAUUUAAGGUUAGUUACAGCCAGACCAGAAGAGAAGAGGGAGACUGGGCUUUAAGGUUAGUUACAGCCAGACCAGAAGAGAAGAUGGAGACUGGGCUUUAAGGUUAGUUACAGCCAGACCAGAAGAGAAGAGGGAGACUGGGCUUUAAGGUUAGUUACAACCAUACCAGAAGAGAAGAGGGAGACUGGGUUAUAAGGUUAGUUACAGCCAGACCAGAAGAGAAGAGGGAGACUGGGUUAUAAGGUUAGUUACAGCCAGACCAGAAGAGAAGAGGGAGACUGGGUUAUAAGGUUAGUUACAGCAAGACCAAAAGAGAAGAGGGAGACUGGGUUAUAAGGUUAGUUACAGCCAGACCAGAAGAGAAGAGGGAGACUGGGCUUUAAGGUUAGUUACAACCAGACCAGAAGAGAAGAGGGAGACUGGGCUUUAAGGUUAGUUACAACCAGACCAGAAGAGAAGAGGGAGACUGGGCUUUAAGGUUAGUUACAACCAGACCAGAAGAGAAGAGGGAGACUGGACUUUAAGGUUAGUUACAGCCAGACCAGAAGAGAAGAGGGAGAC
rnacentral:lncRNA from 1 species